UACCAGCUCUCCGAGUGGUGUGGAUGUUUAUUGGGCCUAAAGCAUCCAUAGCUGGCCAAGUUAGUCCCCUGUUAAAUCCACCGAAUUAAUCGUUGGAGUGCGGGGAUACUGCUUGGCUUGGGGACGAGAGAGGCCGACGGUAUUUUCGGGGUAGGGUGAAAUCCUAUAAUCCCGGGAAGACCACCAGUGGCGAAGGCUGCCGGCUAGAACGCGCCCGACGGUGAGGGAUGAAAGCUGGGGGAGCGAACCGGAUUAGAUACCCGGGUAGUCCCAGCUGUAAACGAUGCAGGCUAGGUGUUUGGGCGGCCACGGGCCGCUCUAGUGCCGCAGGGAAGCUGUUAAGCCUGCCGCCUGGGGAGUACGGCCGCAAGGCUGAAACUUAAGGAAUUGGCGGGGAGCACCACAAGGGGUGAGGCUUGCGGUUU
rnacentral:rRNA from 1 species